UACGUAGGUGGCAAGCGUUGUCCGGAUUUAUUGGGUUUAAAGGGUGCGUAGGUGGUCUAUUAAGUCAGUGCUGAAAUAUCCCGGCUUAACCGGGAGGGUGGCAUUGAUACUGAUGGACUUGAGUAAAGUUGAGGUGGGCGGAAUUGACGGUGUAGCGGUGAAAUGCUUAGAUAUCGUCAAGAACACCUAUUGCGAAGGCAGCUCACUAAGCUUUAACUGGCACUGAGGCACGAAAGUGUGGGGAUCAAACAGG
rnacentral:rRNA from 1 species